rnacentral:lncRNA from 1 species
GAUGUUCGAGAAAGAACUUCUGCCUGGGUCAUGGAGGUUGAAACCAAAUCCUGAGUGAUGGUAUUAGACGGCCUUUGAGAGGUGAUAAGGUCAUGAGGAUGACCUUCAUGAAUAGAAUUAGUACUCUUAUAAAAGAGAUCUCAGAGAGACUCCUCAUCCCUUCCAACAGAUGAAGUUACAGUGAGAAGACAGCAUCUACGAUGAACUGGGCCCUCAUCAGACCCCAAAUUUUUCACG